CUGUGUGUUGUUGGGUAGGGGAGCGUUCUGUAAGCCUGUGAAGGUGUGUCGUGAGGCAUGCUGGAGGUAUCAGAAGUGCGAAUGCUGACAUAAGUAACGAUAAAGCGGGUGAAAAGCCCGCUCGCCGGAAGACCAAGGGUUCCUGUCCAACGUUAAUCGGGGCAGGGUGAGUCGACCCCUAAGGCGAGGCCGAAAGGCGUAGUCGAUGGGAAACGGGUUAAUAUUCCCGUACUUGGUGUUACUGCGAAGGGGGGACGGAGAAGGCUAUGUUGGCCGGGCGACGGUUGUCCCGGUUUAAGCGUGUAGGUGUGUGUUCCAGGUAAAUCCGGUUCACUUUAACACUGAGGCGUGACGACGAGGCACUACGGUGCUGAAGCAACAAAUGCCCUGCUUCCAGGAAAA
rnacentral:rRNA from 3 species